rnacentral:rRNA from 1 species
AGCGAGUCUGCCUUGAAGAUCGGAGUGCUUGCACUCUGUGAAACAAGAUACAGGCUAGCGGCGGACGGGUGAGUAACACGUGGGUAACCUGCCCAAGAGAUCGGGAUAACACCUGGAAACAGAUGCUAAUGCCGGAUAACAACAGAUGAUGCCUAUCAACUGUUUAAAAGAUGGUUCUGCUAUCACUCUUGGAUGGACCUGCGGUGCAUUAGCUAGUUGGUAGGGUAACGGCCUACCAAGGCGAUGAUGCAUAGCCGAGUUGAGAGACUGAUCGGCCACAUUGGGACUGAGACACGGCCCAAACUCCUACGGGAGGCAGCAGUAGGGAAUCUUCCACAAUGGACGCAAGUCUGAUGGAGCAACGCCGCGUGAGUGAAGAAGGGUUUCGGCUCGUAAAGCUCUGUUGUUGGUGAAGAAGGACGGGGGUAGUAACUGACCUUUGUUUGACGGUAAUCAAUUAGAAAGUCACGGCUAACUACGUGCCAGCAGCCGCGGUAAUACGUAGGUGGCAAGCGUUGUCCGGAUUUAUUGGGCGUAAAGCGAGUGCAGGCGGUUCGAUAAGUCUGAUGUGAAAGCCUUCGGCUCAACCGGAGAAUUGCAUCAGAAACCGUCGAGCUUGAGUACAGAAGAGGAGAGUGGAACUCCAUGUGUAGCGGUGAAAUGCGU